AUACCAUGGUGCGGACAUAUAACCAGCAUCCCUUUGAAGCGUUCCCAUGUUUCAUGCAAUGUCUCCAUUGGUAUCUGUUUAAAACUCAAAAUUUCAUCAAUUUGUUGAGCAU
rfam:Nicotiana attenuata strain TT chromosome 3, whole genome shotgun sequence.